AGUAGUAUAGCUGGGUCACAUGGUUGUUUCAUUCCAAGUUUUCCGAGAAAUCUCCAUACUGCUUUCUAGAAUGGUUGCAUCAAUUUGCAGUCCCACCAGCAGU
rnacentral:pre_miRNA from 1 species